CUGAGCAGUGCAGGUGGAGGAGCGGUGGGGGAGCGGUGCAGGCAGGCUAACUCCAGAGAGGACAAUUCUUCCUUCAGUUUUUGAUGUUCAUGUUCCAGGCUUGGCAUCCUUCCCCACCCAUCCACACGCUCUCCCUCAGCAACUGUACUCUGGUAUGGCAUCAGCCACUAUCCAAAUGCUGAUGUCCACGAAAUGACAGCUCCAGCUCCAACCACUUUUCGCAGUUGACAGGAAUUUCGGACAGCCCACGGAAAUUAUCCACCUAGGACUCAAAACUCAACUUGUACAAAACUAGGCCCAUCCUGUUAAUAGCAUUCUGAAUCUUCUCAACUACACAAGCAGGGAAUCUUGGAGUCUUUCUAGAAACUCACUUUCCCUUGCUUGUCAAACUCAGUGGCUCACCUCACCUCCUCCUCCACCUCUCACCUGGAUUCCUCCCUUACCUGGGCUCCUGCCCCCAUGCAGUCUCCCCCAGUACAACCUCCCCCGCCACUGUGGAUCCUUCUAUUACACAGGCUGGGAAGACACACAAGAAACUGAGAAGCUGCUUGUCUCUGGAGAGGGGAGCUGGGGAAAGAGUUGGGAGGAAGGGAAAUUUUCUUUGCAAUGCAUGUUUUCAAUGUCCCCUCAUGUGCCUGUGUAUUACCUCUUCUAAUUUUUAAAAUAAACAUUUAAAAAUAAUGAAACACAGAAAACUUCGCCUAGCUCCCCACUGCCUACAGGACAGUUCAACCUCUUAGCUUGGAAUCCUGUGAAAAUGUGACCCAAACCCGUCUCAUUGGUUUCUGCUCUCCGACAUCACCUGGCUGAAUGGCACAUAAACUCCAGGCUGUUCAAAAGCACUUCUGGGCCAGGUGCGGUCGCUCAUGCCUAUAAUCCCAGCACUUUGGGAGGCUGAGGCGGAUGGAUCACUUGAGGUCAGAAGUUUGAGACCAGCCUGGCCAACAUGGCGAAACCCCGUCUCUACUAAAAAUACAAAAAUUACCUGGGCAUGGUGGCACAUGCCUGUAGUCCCAGCUACUCAGGAGGCUGAGACAGGAGAAUUGCUGGAACCCGGGAGGCGGAGGCUGCAGUGAGCCGAGAAUGCGCCACUGCACUCCAGCCUGGGCAAGAUAGAGUGAGACUCCAUCUCAAAAAAAAAAAAAAAUCGCUUCUGGACCUCUGGAGUUUUCUACACAUUGUUUCCUCUUUAUGGAAAGCUCCACCCUUUGUCAACCGCUGGAACACAUUAGUGAUCCUUUAGAACCAACUCAGACACCAGAUCCACUGGAAGACUUCUGCCUCGGGUGGGAUUCCCACGCCUCCACGUGUGCAGACGCACUGGAGCAUGCCUUUACAACAUGCUUCCACGGGAACUUGCAAACGUGCAUUUACGCACCCCUUCCCAACACGGUUAUGAGCUUUUUGGGGGUCCGCACCAUCCUUUCUUCUUGUCCCCUGGAUCAAUUGAAAUAUCACUCAUUGCCAUUUAAAUUUGUGUUCUUUGCUACAGACUUGAACGCAGGCAGAUAGUCACCGUCUUCAGGACAGUGACUUUGUUUUGCUGCAAGUCCAUUAAGUUACCCAUCACCUUGACGUCCUUCUGUGGAGGUGCUGUCCCGCCAGGCACUCACUGUGACUGCUCUCUUUACACCGUGAGUUCCAUAGCAGCUGCAUGCCAAGAUUACUGUAAAGUCCUGGCUGGGGUAACAGGCAAGAAAGAAUUAUCCGGAUGCUCCAUGGCUACAGCAAAUGGAACCUUUCCAAAAAUGGUGGAUGACAGAGUCCCUCAGCCUAAGGAGAGGACACUAUUGCCCGAGACUCUCUUGCAAAACAGAAAAAUUCUCAGAUAACGUACUUCCCUUGACCUUGAGUGACCCAGGUUUAUAGGCAGAGGGAGGAAAACAAUCUGAAUUACCACCUGCUAAUAAAAAUACUGAAUCUGGCUAGGCACAGUGACUUACACCUGUAAUCCCAGCACUUUGGGAGGCCAAGGCAGGGGGACCACCUGAGGUCAGGAGUUCAAGAACAGCCUGACUAAUAUAGUGAAACCCCAUCUCUACUAAAAAUACAAAAAAAUUAGCCAGGCGUGGUGGCAUGCUCCUAUAGUCCCAGCUACUCGGGAUGCUGAGACAGGAGAAUUGCUUGAAUCCUGGAGGCAGAGGUUGCAGUGAGCCGAUGCACUCCAGCCUGGGCGACAGACCAAGAUUCCAUCUCAAAAAUAAAAUAAAAAUUAAAAUUAAAAUACUGAAUCUAUGUCUACUUGAUUAAACCAAAAUUUCUUCUCCAAGGGUUCCUUCAAAUUUCACGAGGGCAUCUAAUGCUCAAAACCUCCUCUUAUCCAGCCCAUUCUGGGACUAAGAUUUUCUGGUGAAUUCCAGGUCCAGCAGCACCAUCCCUACCGCCAUCCACUACUGCUGCGCUGUAAAAAGAGCCUUCCUACAAGAGCUGACUGCACCGCCCUCCUUGUGUCCUAUUCUCCAUGAACUCCAGCCCAAGGCGCCUCCCACCACUCUCUGACCCAUCUCUCACCAAGGACCUUGAGACCUCCCGAGUGGCUCAAUUCAACCACCAGCUCUCAGGCUUCCCGCAUAUAUCCCACCAAGCAGCACUUCCAGCAGCUGAGCACGCCCUCCGUCCUAAGCACCUUCCUCCCUUGGCUUCCGGAUGUUCUCUUGGUUUUCUCCCCUUUACUGGCUGUUCUUUAGGAUGCCUCUAUCUCCUCAACCUUUGAACAGCGUGCUCAACCCCUGGCCUCGUCCCACGUUAGUUCACAUACACGAAGCUCCCAGGACAGAGCCCGGUGCCCAUCCAUGCUUCCUAAGCACACGCUGGCAGCAUCGUCACUGGUGAUCCCAUCUAAUCUCAUGGGUUUAAAUCCUCCCAUGUUCUAAUGGCUUCUAAAC
rnacentral:lncRNA from 1 species